UACGUAGGGUGCGAGCGUUGUCCGGAAUUACUGGGCGUAAAGAGCUCGUAGGUGGUUUGUCGCGUUGUCCGUGAAAACUCACAACUCAAUUGUGGGCGUGCGGGCGAUACGGGCAGACUGGAGUACUGCAGGGGAGACUGGAAUUCCUGGUGUAGCGGUGGAAUGCGCAGAUAUCAGGAGGAACACCGAUGGCGAAGGCAGUUCUCUGGGCCGUAACUGACGCUGAGGAGCGAAAGCGUGGGGAGCGAACGGG
rnacentral:rRNA from 1 species